rnacentral:rRNA from 1 species
AGUGAACGCUGGCGGUAGGCCUAACACAUGCAAGUCGAACGGCAGCACAGUAAGAGCUUGCUCUUACGGGUGGCGAGUGGCGGACGGGUGAGGAAUACAUCGGAAUCUACUUUUUCGUGGGGGAUAACGUAGGGAAACUUACGCUAAUACCGCAUACGACCUACGGGUGAAAGCAGGGGAUCUUCGGACCUUGCGCGAUUGAAUGAGCCGAUGUCGGAUUAGCUAGUUGGCGGGGUAAAGGCCCACCAAGGCGACGAUCCGUAGCUGGUCUGAGAGGAUGAUCAGCCACACUGGAACUGAGACACGGUCCAGACCCCUACGGGAGGCAGCAGUGGGGAAUAUUGGACAAUGGGCGCAAGCCUGAUCCGGCCAUGCCGCGUGGGUGAAGAAGGCCUUCGGGUUGUAAAGCCCUUUUGUUGGGAAAGAAAAGCAGCAGGUUAAUACCCCGCUGUUCUGACGGUACCCAAAGAAUAAGCACCGGCUAACUUCGUG